UACAGAGGUCUCAAGCGUUGUUCGGAUUCAUUGGGCGUAAAGGGUGCGUAGGCGGCGCGGUAAGUCGGGUGUGAAAUCUCGGGGCUUAAACUCCGAAACUGCAUUCGAUACUGCCGUGCUUGAGGACUGGAGAGGAGACUGGAAUUUACGGUGUAGCGGUGAAAUGCGUAGAUAUCGAUAAGGAAGACCAGUGGCGAAGGCGGGUCUCUGGACAGUUCCUGACGCUGAGGCACGAAGGCCAGGGGAGCAAACGGG
rnacentral:rRNA from 1 species